UACGUAGGGCGCAAGCGUUGUCCGGAAUUAUUGGGCGUAAAGAGCUCGUAGGCGGCUUGUCGCGUCGGCUGUGAAAACCCGUGGCUCAACUGCGGGCUUGCAGCCGAUACGGGCAGGCUAGAGUUCGGUAGGGGAGACUGGAAUUCCCGGUGUAGUGGUGAAAUGCGUAGAUAUCGGGAGGAACACCAGUGGCGAAGGCGACUACCUGGCCCACUCGUUGACGCUGAGGCGCGAAAGCUAGGGGAGCGGAACGGGAUA
rnacentral:rRNA from 1 species